AAGUGUUAAGUCUUUAAUUUUUGAAUCCUUAGCUUACUUUGUAAAUUUAAGGCUAGAUUUAAACAAAAAAUUAAAGAUUAAAUUAGUAUUGAAUGAAACUUUGUUUAUAUAUCGAUAAUGACGAUAUAUAUAUUAUGUCUUGACCAAUUACGUGCCAGCAGUCGCGGUAAUACGUAAGAGACUAGUGUUAUUCAUCUUAAUUAGGUUUAAAGGGUACUCAAACGGGGUCCUUCGCAUAAAAAAAGACUAGAGUUAUAUAGAAGAAGGUAGUACCUUAAGUGUAGAGAUUAUAUUUGGUCCAUACUCGAGGGACUUAGAAAAGGCGUAGGCAACCUUCUAAGCAAUAACUGACGUUGAAGGACGAAGGCAUAGGUCACGAACAGGAUUAGAUACCCAAGUAGUCUUUGCAGUUCAAUGAAUGAAUGCCCAUAGGUUAGAAUAAAAAAUUUAGUUCUAUUAAAUGAAAAGUGUAAGCAUUUUCACCCUCAAAAAGUAAAUGUUGGCAACGCAGGAACUGAAAU
rnacentral:rRNA from 1 species